rnacentral:rRNA from 1 species
AUGGUCCAACUACAGAACUUCUUCUUUUUCAUUACUUCCAUGGUCGUGCCCCGUGGCACGGCAGCACCCGUACUAUUGAAAUGGUUCGUCAGUACAGAUGUUCCCACUGGUGCCUCUUCUUCCAAUGGUACUAUAAUUCCUAUUCCUAUCCCUUUAUUCCCUUUUUUGGUCUAUCUACAUUUAAGGAAAUUCAUACGCUCCAUGGACAGAGCAAAAAGUGGAGUGUUGGUCAAAGCAAGCCACCCUAUUCUAUUACCAGACAAAAUGGAGAGAAGCUCAUCCGCUAGAAAUGCUUUAUUUCGUUUCGUUCCCGUUCUUCAUUUCCUUAUUAUCGAAUCCAUGGGGGACUUCUCAUAUUUAGAAUCUUUCUGCGGUCUGCUCUGUUUACAAUUCUUUCGUACUCUCUUCUCUUUACCACGUGAUAGGUCAGCGAAGCGUGAGCGGGCGCUCUGA